UGGGGAAUUUUGGACAAUGGGCGAAAGCCUGAUCCAGCAAUGCCGCGUGUGUGAAGAAGGCCUUCGGGUUGUAAAGCACUUUUGUCCGGAAAGAAAUCCUUGGCUCUAAUACAGUCGGGGGAUGACGUACCGGAAGAAUAAGCACCGGCUAACUACGUGCCAGCAGCCGCGGUAAUACGUAGGGUGCAAGCGUUAAUCGGAAUUACUGGGCGUAAAGCGUGCGCAGGCGGUUUGCUAAGACCGAUGUGAAAUCCCCGGGCUCAACCUGGGAACUGCAUUGGUGACUGGCAGGCUAGAGUAUGGCAGAGGGGGGUAGAAUUCCACGUGUAGCAGUGAAAUGCGUAGAGAUGUGGAGGAAUACCGAUGGCGAAGGCAGCCCCCUGGGCCAAUACUGACGCUCAUGCACGAAAGCGUGGGGGAGCAAACAGGAUUAGAUACCCUGGUAGUCCACGCCCUAAACGAUGUCAACUAGUUGUAGGGGGAUUCAUUUCCUUAGUAACGUAGCUAACGCGUGAAGUUGACCGCCUGGGGAGUACGGUCGCAAGAUUAAAACUCAAAUGAAUUGACGGGGUCAUAGCUGUUUCCU
rnacentral:rRNA from 1 species